UAUUCCAAAAAUAAAUGACAACCAGAACAAAACCACAGCAACUGUUCACAUAAAUCUGCUGUUGUUUUAGGACCGGUCAGACCUCUCUAAGCUUUCUGAAUCUGGACCGACUCGAUCUGCCGGCCAUUAAAUUCCUUCUGUUUUAUUGAUAGAGAUAAAACACCAAGAGAGUUUAUAAUAAACAUAAUGAACUGUGAUCGUGUCUGAAUCCAGCCGUUUAUUCUGGGUUGAAGCUAAUCCUAAUCCAUCCUUUGCUUGUUGUUUGAUUAAGUGGUCAUGUGAUGAAGAAAGACCAUAAUCACAGCUUCAUAUCUUCAGUCUCGGCUCAGACACUUUAUACACUGGAUAUUCUUCAUUGUUUGAGAUUCUCUGCUCGUCAUGCCGAGAUUUUGACAAACUUAAAAUGGGAUGCAGAGUCACUAAAUCAAAUCAACAAAAGCUGCUUCAAUGUGAACGAGCAAGUGUCUCAGUUCCAG